GAUGAACGCUGGCGGCGUGCCUAAUACAUGCAAGUCGAGCGAACAGACGAGGAGCUUGCUCCUCUGACGUUAGCGGCGGACGGGUGAGUAACACGUGGAUAACCUACCUAUAAGACUGGGAUAACUUCGGGAAACCGGAGCUAAUACCGGAUAAUAUAUUGAACCGCAUGGUUCAAUAGUGAAAGACGGUUUUGCUGUCACUUAUAGGUGGAUCCGCGCCGCAUUAGCUAGUUGGUAAGGUAACGGCUUACCAAGGCAACGAUGCGUAGCCGACCUGAGAGGGUGAUCGGCCACACUGGAACUGAGACACGGUCCAGACUCCUACGGGAGGCAGCAGUAGGGAAUCUUGCGCAAUGGGCGAAAGCCUGACGGAGCAACGCCGCGUGAGUGAAGAAGGUCUUCGGAUCGUAAAACUCUGUUAUUAGGGAAGAACAAAUGUGUAAGUAACUAUGCACGUCUUGACGGUACCUACUCAGAAAGCCACGGCUAACUACGUG
rnacentral:rRNA from 1 species